AUGACCUCCCUGACCCCGGCCCAUGAAGCCUCUCCCCGCCUGCCCCCUGCCCCUCUACAGUUGGGCCCCCGCACAGGCCGGUCACUCACCGGUCCCGCGCCUUGUCCCUGCUCUCCUUGGCCCCCUCUCUCCCUUGUGCUGCUCCCAGAUGCCUUGGCCCCACUCCCAUCUUAGAAGGGUUUUGGAAGCAAAGACAAACCAGCUCAAAUCCCGGUUCCACCAUGUUCUAAUCUGUCUCCUAUGACAUCAGCUGGACAAGAGGUUCCAUCCUGGCAAGUGGGGCCGGCCAGCCCCCUUCAUGCAUAAAAGGCUGGCCCUCAUCUCCUUGGCGCUGGACCAUCCCAACUGCCUCCUGACUGGGAUCCCUGCCUCGGGCUUCCUUGACCUCCAGGCCAUCCUCCAUGAACUACAGGAGUGAAGUUUCUAGAAGUGAGAUCCUGGGUCUAGCCACACUGGGAGCUUGUUAGAAAUGUUGACCUUCAGACUCUGCCCCAGAUCUAUGAAUGGGGGCCUCCUACUUAAAGCAAGGUGUGAGCGGCACUGUGCUAACUACACACCCAACCAUGGUGUGUCUGCAGGACCAGCACCUCUCUCGACCCUGAAAGACAUGCCCUCCUCUCGGCCUUCCCACCCGCCUCUCCAGACUCAUCUUUCCCCACUCACCGCUAGAACCUUCCACUCCAAAUACAAUUCUUAAUCGACGAUCACGUGUCCCCAUCUAAAAGCCGUAGCACAUGAUGAGAUCAGAAACGUGUGACGCAAAGAAAUGCCUUUUCCCUACCCUUAUUGGUACUUCAAAAUACGGGGUUCAUUGGACAAGACUCCUUACCUGUCGUCAGGACGUUCCUGUGUUUUUGAGACUCGAAGGAAAUUAAACCAAUUAGAAUAAUUUAUUGAACACCUGCUAAAAUGCAAGGUAGCUUUCGAGGAACAAGGAAUAAUAAUUAUUACCGUUAUUAUGGCUGUUGCUUAUUGAAUGGCUACCCCACAGGGGGAACCAUCUAGAACUCCCCUUUGUACAUCCUUAAAUAGCCCUGAAAGGCAGGCUGUCAUCACCCCAUGCUUGUCUUGAGGAGCAGGAUGCUUGGGGGUGCCCUGCCCAGGGCUGCACAGGUAGAGAGCCAGCCAAGUGUCACCCUCCCCCUGCAUGUUCCCCACGACGUCACAUAAACUAGACACAGUUCCCAAGCCUGACACCCCUCCUCGUUCAGCCCACGGACCGGAGGACACCUCCAUGCCCGCCGCCACCUCGCUGGUCCCCCCGCUGCUUCUGGGGCUCAAGAGGGAAAGCAGAACCCCCAGCCGGACGUGCUUUCCUUGAGCCGAUGACGGUGGAAUCCAGC
rnacentral:lncRNA from 1 species